AACAAAAAAGUGAAAUACUAUCUAGCCUAGGCUAUUUUAGCCUUCAAAAAGGACUUGGCAAAAUGGGAGGGGCUAGGAUCGGUUUAAAUCUAACUUGAGUAUUGAAUUCACCGCUAUGAGGAAAAAGUGUGAAACUUUAAUUCCUUGCACUUCACCACAGUUUUACCUGCAUAAUUUUUGGGUCAGAUGUGUUUGGAGAAGCCGAACUAGAAGCAAAGGAUGCAGUGAUGAUAUUCAACAAUCAAUGACGAGCUCCCUCAGCGAAAUAACAUAAGCAUGAACAUCUACCACAGAACACAACUGGAAAAAAGAAUAAAAGGAGUAAAUCUCAAGGUUCAGUAUGAUAUACUAGCUAGAGAGACGGAGGUUUACUUACUCUUGAAAGCUGAAUCAGUACUCGAUGAUGGC
rnacentral:lncRNA from 1 species